rnacentral:ncRNA from 2 species
GUGUUAGCCUUAAGAGACGAUGCCAUUGUGGCUUAAUAGGGAAUCUGGUGUAAAUCCAGAACUGCCCCCGCAACUGUAAAUGCUGACGAAAUGAGCAAACCACUGUAUAAGAAAUGUCUAAUAUAUUAGGCAAUUAUAUGGGAAGGGUUCAAAGUAGGAUGAAGCAUGAGUCAGGAGACCUGUCUUUCUUAAGUUGUUUCA